AUUGAACGCUGGCGGCAGGCCUAACACAUGCAAGUCGAGCGGAGCGGCGGACGGGUGAGUAAUGCCUAGGAAUCUGCCUGGUAGUGGGGGAUAACGUCCGGAAACGGGUGCUAAUAUCGCAUACUCUCAGAUGAGCCUAGGUCGGUUUAGCUAGUUGGUGGGGUAACGGCCUACCAAGGCGACGAUCCGUAACUGGUCUGAGAGGAUGAUCAGUCACACUGGAACUGGGACGCGGUCCAAACUCCUACGGAAGGCAGCAGUGAGGAAGAUUGGACAAUGGGCGAGAGCCUGAACCAGCCAUGCCGCGGGUGUAAGGAAGGUCUUCGGAUUGUAAAGCCCUUUAAGUUGGGAGGCGUUACCAACAGAAUAAGCACCGGCUGACUUCGUGCCAGCCGCCGCGGUAAUGC
rnacentral:rRNA from 1 species